UUUUGCUAAAAUACUUAUGUCCCACUAUAUUCAAAGCGGUCAACCCAGGAGGAAAAAUAAAAGGGACACCAUCUGCAUUAAGGAACCAAACACCGGGAAAUGGAGCAUUCGUCCUGAUUUCUGCACUCCCUCCUAUCAGGGUAAGGAAUCAAAAUCCCUGAGUGGAAUCAUAAGAAAAUGGAACAAUAACUUUUCCAAGAAAUAAAACCCUCAUGUUGAAGCGCAUGUCACAACAGUACCAGCUCCAGGACGCUGCUGAUGUGCAGCAUAUUCACACUUUGUGACAAAGUCAGGAGGCUGACGACUCCUCCAAAGAGAUUGGCUCUUAAGGGGAACUUCA